UACGUAGGUGGCAAGCGUUAUCCGGAAUCACUGGGCGUAAAGCGCACGCAGGCGGCCUGGUAAGUCUGACGUGAAAGCUCCUGGCUUAACCGGGAGAGGUCGUUGGAGACUGCGAAGCUUGAGGCGAUGAGAGGGGUGCGGAAUUCCCGGUGUAGUGGUGGAAUGCGUAGAUAUCGGGAGGAACACCAGUGGCGAAGGCGGCUUCCUGGACUGUUCUUGACGCUGAGGCGCGAAAGCUAGGGGAGCAAACGGG
rnacentral:rRNA from 1 species